UUUGUAUUUGCAACACUUUUUGCAGAAUGACUUUUACGUAUUACAUGUAUAACUUGUGGACACAAAAUUGCACCAAAUCAUGCAUCAAUGACUGAUGCACAAAAAGAACAGAAGUGUCACAAAGUUCAUUAUUAUGUAUGACAUAUAGUGCUGCAUAAGGAAUUAGUAUUUCGUGCUCUUUCACUGAAAUGGUUGAAAUACACAUACACUUUUGUUCACUAGUUGUUUUGCUUGCUCAUUAUGCAGAAGCUGGCAAGAUGGUCAAGCGGCUGAAAAAGAUGCUGCAGACAGCCGAAAGCAAGCCGGAGGAACCGGUGAUUGCUUGCACAAAGGUACGCUUAUUUGCUGCCAGUUGUUCCUUUUUUUUUCUUUUUUGGCCGUAUAGUGCAUUUGAAGUGAUGCCUUGAGCAAUGCAAGGUUAAAUCAGUGUUUCCCAAAUUGCUGGCCCCUGGAAUCACUUGAGGUGGUGAAAGGGGUCUGUCUGGAUCACUUAACGAUGUGCAGUUGAUCAUUUGCAAUUUGUGACUAUGACUAAAGCUGAUGCCUGGCCAGCAUGAUGGCUGGUGGCAAGCCGUUGCAGGAAGGUUGCUGAAACUAUACGCCAUUUAGUAGUCGUUAACAAUGAUCAUGUUGAUGUCACAUCUGCUGACAGCUGCCUGUGUAUCUGUAAGCAAUGAGCCAUCAAUUACGAAGUCCACUUGUGAACAAUUUAUAUUUGUCUUUCCGUCUUUCUUUUCUUUCUUACUUGCACCUGCACUGCAGUGUCAGUCUCUGAAGUAACUGUCAAAGACAUGCCUCUACAAUGCAAACCAUGUGACGAUGCUGCCAGACACUUGUUUUUCUUCUGCUGUCAUUUAUGGCUAGUAUAUUUGGUGAUACAUUGUUCACCUUUAUGCCCUGUAGGAUCAAAGGUGAGCUUCUAAAGUGUCUCUUAAUUUUCUGUGUCCAGGUGAACAUUGGCGGUGGCACGCUGGUUGACGAGUCAAUCAUCAACCAGUUGUGCCGAGCCUGUGACAGUAACAGUGGCCCUGGCAAAUUUGCCAGGGCACUUUUGCGCAACGUUUUCCCUGAAGAGUUGCAGGGCAAGUCCCUCUUUGGAGGGAAAAGCUGCCUUCGGGGGGAGACGCGACAAAAGGAGGCCCUCGAUCCCACACGUGUGGAGGCUGUGAUAGGAUACACCUGCACAAAAUUUCCGGGGGCGAGUGUGCCAUACCUGAAGAAUAGUCUUUCGUCACUCCUCUCCAGGGAAAUAAAAUGACUCACGUCUUCUGGUGGAGCUUCCUGCGGAAACUACUGCUGCUUACCUGGUGCCACAACGUUGGAUGAAUGCACGAAAAGCCCGCGACGAGCAUAUACAAAGAAUAAAAUAAAUAUAAAUUUUUCCUCAUUUCACAAGGUGUCUUGCGUCUUUAUGAAAUUGCACGUGGCACAUUUUCAAUGGAGGCUUGUGAAUAUCGCUCGCAAUCAAUUUUACUUAAUAAAAUGAUUUGCCAAUAAAUAUUUAAUAAAUAAAAAAUAAAUAUAUAAAUAAAUAUUUUCUGCAAAAGCAAAA